UCAUACCACAUUCAUGCUUUAACCUCAAUAACUGAAUAUGUGAGUAACCAACAGCCCUUUUACCUUUCAUAAAUAUCCACAAAUACAAGGCAGCUUCAACCCAAAUGGCACUCGGAAUUUCAGAAAAAUUGAAGCAAAAGAGUAGAAAUUUGAACAACCCUCAAACCCUUUAUUUCACUGUGUUUUGUUACUACUAGAUUGUAACAGUGAAGUUAACAAGAAACAACUGAAAAUUGGAAUAGCAUCCCAAGUGAUAUAAACUAAGAACAAUUCAUCGGAUCCUAUAAACUUGGUAAGGCUCAUGUGACAAAUUUCAGAACAAAAAUGACUCACUGGUUUGCUUGGUACUAAAUUAGAAUUUACAGAUCUGAAAGCAUGAACUAAUAGGCUACUUAAUCAGAUUUCAAACUAACAGUGAAGCGAUUGAAAUAACCCUCCUUGAGCCAACUUCAUUCGGACCAUAAACCAAAUUCUAAUCCAAACAACAUAAACAACAAUAUGCGAAACAGAUGAUUUAUCUAAUCUAACGUUAAACCUUUUCGUCGAAAUGAAACGCUCAUAUUAACACUUGCAAUGCUUUCUUUACCACUUGCAGUGCUUAAUAUCAGUAAGAGAAAGCAGUUUGACAGCUUCAAAGUGAACUGAAGUCAACCUGAAAAAAAUGUGAACGAAUCUCAACACUUGAAAUCGAUGCAAUGCAACAGCAGCCACAUACCGAUGCCUUGAUCAACAACGAAUUCCAAUAACUUUGAAAACGGAAUAUAUGUAUUUCAAAACGGGUGAACAGUGAAUCGAACAACAAAAGUCACAGGACUUCAAACAUUUUUUUUGUAUAUGUGCUUUUUGGAAUCAACACUGCGAAUAAAAAAAAGAGAAUAAAUGUGAAGAACACUAGCUAAAAAAACCACCCUAUCUAAAAUCCGAUCCUGUCCUUUAUAGAGACGAACCCCUGAUGAAAAUGUGGCUUGGAUUGAACGAAGUCAAUCCAACGACUCAUCCUCAUCCAAUGAUACGUCUCUAGGACCUUCCAAUCGCAUGCUAAAUCUCUCACCUGAGCGAGUGAAUGGAGGGAGCAUUUUUAGUUCCAGAAAUUGUUAGAAAUGGUGAUGUAAGAGAAGGAGGGACACAUGAGGAGGAAUUUGAGACUCACUCACUCAAAAUCUUGGCGAUUUUGGGAAGGGAUUCGUGCGAUUUGGUGAGGAGGAUGAACAGUGUGCGUUUGGGUUAGGGAUUUAGGUCGUUUGGAUCUCUGUGUAUGUAUCGCUUGUUUUUUGUGUGAAUGGGUUGGGUAUGGGGUUAUUGGGUGUGG
rnacentral:lncRNA from 1 species